GGAGAAUUAGCUCAGCUGGGAGAGCGUCUGCCUUACAAGCAGGAUGUCGGGGGUUCGAUCCCCUCAUUCUCCA
rnacentral:tRNA from 1 species